rnacentral:tRNA from 1 species
CUCUCGUUAGCUCAAUAGGAUAGAGCAUCACCCUUCUAAGGUGAGUGUUGCAGGUUCGAUUCCUGCACGAGAGG